rnacentral:lncRNA from 1 species
GAAUGCACACAUCACCAUCAUGGCUCAGGCAGCAGGCAUGGUACUGAAGCAGCAGCAGAAUGAUCACAUAUUGACCUACACAGGAAAGAGAGAACUUUACGAGAAUGGCACCUGUCUAGUGUAAUCUUAAAGCCCAUCCCAGUUACACAUAUCCAACAAAAAGGCCACAACUUCUAAUCCUUUCCAGAAUAGGUCAGCCAUCUGGAGAGCAAGCAUUAUAUGAGCCUAUGGGCCUCUGACAUUCAAGCCACCACAGAGGUGCUGGAUCAAGUCAUUAUAUUCAUCCUCUCUGUGUAACAACAGUCAUGGUGAUGCAGGAUAGCUGAUCAUGCUGUGCUUGUGUUUGAUUGUGUUGUUUACUCAAUAAACUCUUGUCUAGUUAUUGUGUGACUCAGCCUUUGCACCAAACUUUAAUCCCUCUAGCCAGAAUACAGACACCUCCUUAGUAAACACCCUUAAUCCUAAACAAUCAAGGUAAAGUUAGUUUGUAGAAUGAAGCACCUUGUCUGAAAGUGAUGUCUAAUUGCAUGGCAGAGAAGUUGAUGAAUCAGAGAAAGUUUUGAUUAAAUAGAAUGUGUCCAACUCUCUCAAGAAGAAAGGAAAGGGAAGCUACUUGAGAGGUAGUGCAGAGAGAAACAGAGAGAGGAGGCAUUUUUACCCAGACAGUUUUAGAGAGAUUCAUUGAAGAGAGAACCAGCAAGACACGGGUGAAGGCAGAAUGAACCAGAGAAUAUGAAGGAGUCAGAAGAUUAGAAAAAAAUUGCUAGUUAGUUUGAGGUCAAGCAGAACAAAAAACAUCAGAGGCCAAGAGAGAAUCCAGACUGAAUCAGUUAGCAUGGGGAGCAGCUUUGAGCUAGAACACCUGAGUUGAACCAGUCAGCCAGAGAUGAAAAAGAACCAGAAAUAAUGGUGUGCUUAUUCAGCAGUAAGUAUGAGAGGCAGAAAAUAUUCUAGGCCUAUGCUAAGUUUCACAGAGGCUAGAAGCUUCCAGGACUAGGUCUAGGUUAUCACUCAGAUGGAGGUAGUAAGCAUCAAAGAUUACAAUUACACCUAGUGCAUAAAAGUUACUUUGACAUAGAGCUAAUAGGUGAGAUUUUGGAAGGCAUAUAUAGAAUCCAUCCAUGGAACUCAGCAAUUCCCCUCUGCUGUAGGUAGUGACAUACUUGAUUCAUGCAUUUUAUAAUUCAGCUCCACUGUUCUGAUAUCCCAGGUAUCUAAUGGACAACUGUGGAAGAUCAUUCAUUGGGGAAGGGUUAGUGUAGUGCAGAAGAGAGAGGUUCCUUUUGUUUUCAGAGCACCUCACUGCCCUAUUCACCUCAUCUGGCUGGAAUUCAAAAUUCAGGUCAUAAAGACAGGAGAGGACACAUUUUGUCCUUUCUUUUUAUGUCUUUCCAUUUUGUAGAGAAUGAUGAUGUGAGGUAGCAAAGAGCAGAAGAUAAAAGCAUAACACUAAGCAGGUCCCCAUCAAAGAUUUCUAGAUACUCUGGGCCUUUUACUCAUCAUGCAGAAAGGAAGCAGAGGUUGCUGAAUAUCAGAUAGUGUCCUUAGUGAUGAAGUUGGUCUGAAUACAGAAACAUUUUGGGGACUAUAAAUCAAGAUUCUGACAUUAGCAGACAGGUGAUAAAAUGAAUAAAAUCAGUGAAACUUUAAAUCAAAAGUAACAUUGCCAAUUUUCCUUAUAGGUGCGAGGAAAUAAACCACCUAUUUUCCGUACCUUUCCUCGGAAGCAUAGAAUUCAUGUGCUUGAGGCUCCUGGUGACAUUGAGCCAACUCAUUCCACCUGUGCUGCUGACAGCAGGGCUCCUGCUGAUGCUGACCAAAUUCUUCCACCUGUGCUGCUGUCAAUGGGGCUCCUGCUGAUGUUGAGCCAACUACUUCACAACUUGUUCCUGACAGUGGUGCUCCUGCUGAUGUUGAGCCAGCUACUUCCCAGUGUGCUCCUGACUGUGAGGAUCCUGCAGUCAUUGAGCCAACACAUUCCACCUGUGCUGCUGACAGCAGGGCUCCUGCUGAUGCUGAGCCAAAUUCUUCCACCUGUGCUGCUGUCAAUGGGGCUCCUGCUGAUGAUGAGCCAACAACUUCUUCCCAGUGUGCUCCUGACUGUGAGGAUCCUGCAGUCAUUGAGCCAACUCAUUCCACCUGUGCUGCUGACAGCAGGGCUCCUGCUGAUGCUGAGCCAAAUUCUUCCACCUGUGCUGCUGUCAAUGGGGCUCCUGCUGAUGUUGAGCCAACUACUUCCAAGUGUGCUCCUGACUGUGAGGAUCCUGCAGUCAUUGAGCCAACUCAUUCCACCUGUGCUGCUGAAAGCAGGAUUCCUGCUGACAUAGAACCAAGUACUUCACAAUGUGCUCCUGACAGUCCUGCUCCUUCUGAUAUUGGUGAGGAACCCAGUCCUGUUGCUGACCCAGAUGAAGAUAUAGCUGAGGAUUUUUAUGAUGCUUUAGAGUCAUCUGAUCACACUGGCCAUAGCGGGUCCACUGUCCAGGUACCUGGUUUUCUUUGGGAACCAGAUAUGCUACUGCUGCCGGUAAUGCCCUUGAUGUGGUUUCUUACAUUCCUGUUAUCAAUGAUGAUGUGGAUUAGAAACGGAAUUCGCAAGUGUGCUACGAAGAAAAUGGCCAAGGACCUCCCUCCA